rnacentral:SRP_RNA from 1 species
GCCGGGCGUGGUGGUGGACAUCUGUAAUCCCAGCUACUCAGGAGGCUGAGGCAGGAGAAUCGCUUGAACCCAGGAGAUGGAGCUUGCAGUGAGCCAAGAUCACGCCACUGCACUACAGCCUGGGCAACAGAGUGAGAUUCCGUCUCAAAAAAAAAAAAAAAUGUAAUUUCUUUUGAGACAGGGUCUCGCUCUGUUGCCCAGGCUGGAGUGCAGUGGCGUGAUCUUGGCUCACUGCAAACUUGACCACCUGGGCUCAAGCGAUCCUCCUGCCUCAU